GCAGGCUAAUAAUACCAAUUAUCUGAAUGUACGCGUAAUUUUUUCUGUACUUGUUGGAGCUCUCUCACCGUCGUCGUUUUAUUCGAUCAUGGUUCUCUUCAAUUUUCUUCUACCGUUUCUCAUCUUCAAAUGGAAUUUCGGCAAAGGAGGAAGUAAUAAAGGAGAAGAUCGACAUCGGGCUUGCUUAUUUGGACCUAUCAAUAU